rnacentral:rRNA from 1 species
GAGUUUGAUUCUGGCUCAGAACGAACGCUGGCGGCGCGUCUUAAGCAUGCAAGUCGAACGGCAAGAGAGGAGCUUGCUUCUCUCCUAGAGUGGCGGACUGGUGAGGAACACGUGGGUAAUCUACCCUUAAGAUGGGGAUAGCUGCUAGAAAUAGCAGGCAAUACCGAAUACACUCAGUGCUUCAUAAGGGGUAUUGAGGAAAGGGAGCUACGGCUUCGCUUGAGGAUGAGCUUGCGUCCCAUUAGCUUGUUGGUGAGGUAACGGCCCACCAAGGCGACGAUGGGUAUCCGGCCUGAGAGGGUGAACGGACACAUUGGGACUGAGAUACGGCCCAAACUCCUACGGGAGGCAGCAGCUAAGAAUAUUCCGCAAUGAACGGAAGUCUGACGGAGCGACGCCGCGUGGAUGAAGAAGGCUGAAAAGUUGUAAAAUCCUUUUGUUGAUGAAGAAUAAGGGUGAGAGGGAAUGCUCAUCUGAUGACGUAAUCGACGAAUAAGCCCCGG